UGAGGAAUAUUGGUCAAUGGAGGCAACUCUGAACCAGCCAUGCCGCGUGCAGGAAGACGGCCCUAUGGGUUGUAAACUGCUUUUGUACAGGAAGAAUCAGCCUCUUUGUAAGAGGCUUUGACGGUACUGUAAGAAUAAGCACCGGCUAACUCCGUGCCAGCAGCCGCGGUAAUACGGAGGGUGCAAGCGUUAUCCGAAAUCAUUGGGUUUAAAGGGUCCGCAGGCGGUCAAUUAAGUCAGAAGUGAAAUCCUACAGCUUAACUGUAGAACUGCCUUUGAUACUGGUUGACUUGAGUUAUACGGAAGUAGAUAGAAUAUGUAGUGUAGCGGUGAAAUGCAUAGAUAUUACAUAGAAUACCGAUUGCGAAGGCAGUCUACUACGUAUAUACUGACGCUCAUGGACGAAAGCGUGGGGAGCGAACAGG
rnacentral:rRNA from 1 species